GAAAGAAAAGAUAAAGAGCUUAGGUCCAAUGCUAUAAAGUCAAGAAAAUGCUGGCAGAGGAAUGCAAAAGGAAAGUCCCACACAUUGUGUUAAGAUUGGAAAUGCUGAGUCAGAACUAGAGGGGGGAAAAAAAUGUGGAUCAAUAAAUGAUAGAUGGAGGGCAGUCCUAUUAACACCAGGAGCUAUAUGUCAGUCUCUGGAACGGCAUUAAAGGGAAAGCUGAUUCCAGCAGAGAAGCUCCAUCCUGA